rnacentral:rRNA from 1 species
GACGGAGGAUGCAAGCGUUAUCCGGAAUGAUUGGGCGUAAAGCGUCCGCAGGUGGCAGUUCAAGUCUGCUGUCAAAGACCGGGCUUAACUUCGGAAAGGCAGUGGAAACUGAACAGCUAGAGUAUGGUAGGGGCAGAGGGAAUUCCUGGUGUAGCGGUGAAAUGCGUAGAUAUCAGGAAGAACAUCGGUGGCGAAGGCGCUCUGCUGGACCAUAACUGACACUCAGGGACGAAAGCUAGGGGAGCGAAUGGG